rnacentral:rRNA from 1 species
CAGCCGCCGCGGUAAUACGUAGGGUGCAAGCGUUAAUCGGAAUUACUGGGCGUAAAGCGUGCGCAGGCGGUUUGUUAAGACAGAUGUGAAAUCCCCGGGCUCAACCUGGGAACUGCAUUUGUGACUGUAUAGCUAGAGUACGGUAGAGGGGGAUGGAAUUCCGCGUGUAGCAGUGAAAUGCGUAGAUAUGCGGAGGAACACCGAUGGCGAAGGCAAUCCCCUGGACCUGUACUGACGCUCAUGCACGAAAGCGUGGGGAGCAAACAGGAUUAGAUACCCCUGUAGUCCCUGUCUCUUAUAC